ensembl:Y_RNA Y_RNA Y RNA
GGCCGCUCCUGCUACAAUGGUAGUGGGUUAUCAGAACUUAUUAACAUUAGUGUCACUAAAAUUGGUAUACAACCCCCCACUGCUAAAUUUGACCGGCUUUAA